UAUAAUUAAAUGUAAAUAUAUAAAAUACAAUAUAUGAAGUAGGUUAAGUAUCGAUAUAGUGAAAGGUGCAUUUGCGUUGCGAGACGUGCAAAUAUAGCAAAAAGCACACAGUAUACACGUACAGCACGAAGAAACCCAUUCAUCUUGCAUCGUUCGUGGUCAAUGACCAUUUUUUGCUCACAGAUAUUGGAUAAGUGACAGCGCCGGUUAUCAGGGACCCAUGAUACCCAGGGACUUAUCUGUACGACGGUGAGGGGCGUAGACCGUUGUUGCAGACAUUAAUUAGGGUGGAACAAUAGAGAACGAGAAUUUUUACCAGGAAAGCAUCAAACGAAAGAGAUCGAGGCGUGGGAGUAGUGGCUGACGCGGGUAAAAUCGAAUGGCAAUGAAUUGGAGAACUUUACAAAAUGGAGAAAGUGACGAAGGGGAAAUAAUUGUAUGAAUAUAGUCAAUUGUAUAGUGCUACGUGGAAUUUGUAGGGAUAAAGGGCCUGAGGGGCAAUGCGUGGCCUUACCAAGGUAUCAGCCCCCAUAGGGAGUGUUCAAAGGGCCCGACCACAUCCCAUGUGUUUCAUAUUCAAAUACAUGCAGGACGCACAUAAUAUUGAGAAAAGUUAAAUUAAAGAGAUUGAUGGAUGUUUGAAGUAGAUACUUAAAAAAUGUCGAAAGUGAUAUCCAUAAUUUAUAGAGGUCACACCUCUAAAACAGAUCUCCACAAGCUUCCUUUCAAAAUUAAAUUCAUAUAAUAUACAUAACUAACAUUUAUAUCUAUUUACAAAUCUUUGCAAUCAUCUACAUGACUUUUAGUAUAUUAUCACACACUUCAACAUCUCAGAAAAUUACAGCUCAAAAAACAGAAAAGGAAAUUGAAGAUAAUAGUCUUCAUGAAAAUAAAUUGACAUAUACACUUCUUCACAGAUCCCCAAGAAUUCAAAACCCUAAUUAUGUACCAUUCAACAAUUUGAGUAUAUUUUAAUAAGUUAACUACACAUAUGACAAUAAAUUUCUACCACCACUGUGUUACAAUUAUCUUCCCAACCUUACUAAAGCGCAUCAGCCAUCACAGACAAUCGAAUCAACUCAACUCGACUGAUUUCGAAGUUAAUUGAGUUUUAGCCGACACUGUACACUCGUACGCGGUUUCACCAUAACUUAGCAGACUGGUUAGGCUCACGCACUGCUGCACGAACGUGAGUUAUCGGGAAAGCAUGAUCUCUCAGCUUUGCUCCUGUGGCUCCUCCUUUCCUCCUUUUUGGUGGCGAGGCCAAAGCCUGACUGCGGUCCAACUGUGCAAGGGACGCAUAAACAACGAGAAUCCUCCAGGUACACGUGUCACGCACAUUACGUCACCUUAUCUACACACGCAUUAUUAGGGUUGCAGGACGUGUUUGCUAUCGCUUUUGUACGUCUGUACUCCGUACACGUAAUUGUACAGGUUAUGCGUGGCCUUAGGAAGAGACGUUUAUGCAAGUAGGCGUACGAGGCAUGAAUACGAAUGCUCGUAAUAAAGGGUGGUAAAUUUUGAAAGGUUGAACAAAGAAAAAACAUGCGGAGCAACAGGAGAACAGGAAGCAAAAGGGGUUGCAUGAUGUGUCUGUAUGUAACGGUCUUCCUUUUAUUCUGGGAUUACGCAACCCUAACUGGGGCAAUGGGGUUGAAAAACCCUCUUGAGAAACGAAACGGUGCAAGCAAAAUUGAUGUACUGGAACUAUUGGUUGUUUGAUGGAAUAUGAAAUUUGAUUGUUUUGGUUGAUUUAAAAGUUUUGAAUUAAUUUUUAUUUGUUG